GCGUAGGAAUCUACCCAGUAGUGGGGGACAACAGCCGGAAACGGCUGCUAAUACCGCAUAUGCCCUUCGGGUAAAGCAGGGGACCUUCGGGCCUUGUGCUAUUGGAUGAGCCUGCGUCGGAUUAGCUAGUUGGUGGGGUAAAGGCCUACCAAGGCGACGAUCCGUAGCUGGUCUGAGAGGAUGGUCAGCCACACUGGGACUGAGACACGGCCCAGACUCCUACGGGAGGCAGCAGUGGGGAAUAUUGCGCAAUGGGGGCAACCCUGACGCAGCCAUGCCGCGUGUGUGAAGAAGGCUCUA
rnacentral:rRNA from 1 species